rnacentral:rRNA from 1 species
AGAGUUUGAUCCUGGCUCAGGAUGAACGCUGGCGGCGUGCCUAAUACAUGCAAGUCGAGCGAACAGACGAGGAGCUUGCUCCUCUGACGUUAGCGGCGGACGGGUGAGUAACACGUGGAUAACCUACCUAUAAGACUGGGAUAACUUCGGGAAACCGGAGCUAAUACCGGAUAAUAUAUUGAACCGCAUGGUUCAAUAGUGAAAGACGGUUUUGCUGUCACUUAUAGAUGGAUCCGCGCCGCAUUAGCUAGUUGGUAAGGUAACGGCUUACCAAGGCAACGAUGCGUAGCCGACCUGAGAGGGUGAUCGGCCACACUGGAACUGAGACACGGUCCAGACUCCUACGGGAGGCAGCAGUAGGGAAUCUUCCGCAAUGGGCGAAAGCCUGACGGAGCAACGCCGCGUGAGUGAUGAAGGUCUUCGGAUCGUAAAACUCUGUUAUUAGGGAAGAACAAAUGUGUAAGUAACUAUGCACGUCUUGACGGUACCUAAUCAGAAAGCCACGGCUAACUACGUGCCAGCAGCCGCGGUAAUACGUAGGUGGCAAGCGUUAUCCGGAAUUAUUGGGCGUAAAGCGCGCGUAGGCGGUUUUUUAAGUCUGAUGUGAAAGCCCACGGCUCAACCGUGGAGGGUCAUUGGAAACUGGAAAACUUGAGUGCAGAAGAGGAAAGUGGAAUUCCAUGUGUAGCGGUGAAAUGCGCAGAGAUAUGGAGGAACACCAGUGGCGAAGGCGACUUUCUGGUCUGUAACUGACGCUGAUGUGCGAAAGCGUGGGGAUCAAACAGGAUUAGAUACCCUGGUAGUCCACGCCGUAAACGAUGAGUGCUAAGUGUUAGGGGGUUUCCGCCCCUUAGUGCUGCAGCUAACGCAUUAAGCACUCCGCCUGGGGAGUACGACCGCAAGGUUGAAACUCAAAGGAAUUGACGGGGGCCCGCACAAGCGGUGGAGCAUGUGGUUUAAUUCGAAGCAACGCGAAGAACCUUACCAGGUCUUGACAUCUUUUGAUCACCUGAGAGAUCAGGUUUCCCCUUCGGGGGCAAAAUGACAGGUGGUGCAUGGUUGUCGUCAGCUCGUGUCGUGAGAUGUUGGGUUAAGUCCCGCAACGAGCGCAA